rnacentral:rRNA from 1 species
AACGAACACUGGCGGCAUGCCUGACACAUGCAAGUCGAACGAGACCUUCGGGUCUAGUGGCGCACGGGUGCGUAACGCGUGGGAACCUGCCCUUAGGUUCGGAAUAACUCCCCGAAAGGGGUGCUAAUACCGGAUAAUGUCUUCGGACCAAAGAUUUAUCGCCUUUGGAUGGGCCCGCGUUGGAUUAGCUAGUUGGUAGGGUAAAAGCCUACCAUGGCGACGAUCCAUAGCUGGUCUGAGAGGAUGAUCAGCCACACUGGGACUGAGACACGGCCCAGACUCCUACGGGAGGCAGCAGUGGGGAAUAUUGGACAAUGGGCGAAAGCCUGAUCCAGCAAUGCCGCGUGAGUGAUGAAGGCCUUAGGGUUGUAAAGCUCUUUUACCCGGGAUGAUAAUGACAGUACCGGGAGAAUAAGCUCCGGCUAACUCCGUG